GACGAACGCUGGCGGCGUGCCUAAUACAUGCAAGUCGAACGCUUCUUUUUCCACCGGAGCUUGCUCCACCGGAAAAAGAGGAGUGGCGAACGGGUGAGUAACACGUGGGUAACCUGCCCAUCAGAAGGGGAUAACACUUGGAAACAGGUGCUAAUACCGUAUAACAAUCAAAACCGCAUGGUUUUGAUUUGAAAGGCGCUUUCGGGAGUCGCUGAUGGAUGGACCCGCGGUGCAUUAGCUAGUUGGUGAGGUAACGGCUCACCAAGGCCACGAUGCAUAGCCGACCUGAGAGGGUGAUCGGCCACAUUGGGACUGAGACACGGCCCAGACUCCUACGGGAGGCAGCAGUAGGGAAUCUUCGGCAAUGGGCGAAAGCCUGACCGAGCAACGCCGCGUGAAUGAUGAAGGCCUUCGGGUUGUAAAAUUCUGUUAUAAGGGAAGAACGACUUUAGUAGGAAAUGGCUAGAGUGUGACGGUACCUUAUGAGAAAGCCACGGCUAACUACGUGCCAGCCGCCGCAGUAA
rnacentral:rRNA from 1 species